rnacentral:rRNA from 1 species
AUGAACGCUAGCUACAGGCUUAACACAUGCAAGUCGAGGGGCAGCAUUUCAGUUUGCUUGCAAACUGGAGAUGGCGACCGGCGCACGGGUGAGUAACACGUAUCCAACCUGCCGAUAACUCGGGGAUAGCCUUUCGAAAGAAAGAUUAAUACCCGAUGGUAUAAUUAGACCGCAUGGUCUUGUUAUUAAAGAAUUUCGGUUAUCGAUGGGGAUGCGUUCCAUUAGGCAGUUGGUGAGGUAACGGCUCACCAAACCUUCGAUGGAUAGGGGUUCUGAGAGGAAGGUCCCCCACAUUGGAACUGAGACACGGUCCAAACUCCUACGGGAGGCAGCAGUGAGGAAUAUUGGUCAAUGGGCGCAGGCCUGAACCAGCCAAGUAGCGUGAAGGAUGACUGCCCUAUGGGUUGUAAACUUCUUUUAUAUGGGAAUAAAGUUUUCCACGUGUGGAAUUUUGUAUGUACCAUAUGAAUAAGGAUCGGCUAACUCCGUGCCAGCAGCCGCGGUAAUACGGAGGAUCCGAGCGUUAUCCGGAUUUAUUGGGUUUAAAGGGAGCGUAGGUGGACAGUUAAGUCAGUUGUGAAAGUUUGCGGCUCAACCGUAAAAUUGCAGUUGAUACUGGCUGUCUUGAGUACAGUAGAGGUGGGCGGAAUUCGUGGUGUAGCGGUGAAAUGCUUAGAUAUCACGAAGAACUCCGAUUGCGAAGGCAGCUCACUGGACUGCAACUGACACUGAUGCUCGAAAGUGUGGGUAUCAAACAGGAUUAGAUACCCUGGUAGUCCACACAGUAAACGAUGAAUACUCGCUGUUUGCGAUAUACAGUAAGCGGCCAAGCGAAAGCAUUAAGUAUUCCACCUGGGGAGUACGCCGGCAACGGUGAAACUCAAAGGAAUUGACGGGGGCCCGCACAAGCGGUGGAGCAUGUGGUUUAAUUCGAAGCAACGCGAAGAACCUUACCAGGUCUUGACAUCCGAUGCAUAGUGCAGAGAUGCAUGAAGUCCUUCGGGACAUCGAGACUGGUGGUGCAUGGUUGUCGUCAGCUCGUGCCGUGAGGUGUCGGCUUAAGUGCCAUAACGAGCGCAACCCUUAUCUUUAGUUACUAACAGGUCAUGCUGAGGACUCUAGAGAGACUGCCGUCGUAAGAUGUGAGGAAGGUGGGGAUGACGUCAAAUCAGCACGGCCCUUACGUCCGGGGCUACACACGUGUUACAAUGGGGGGUACAGAAGGCAGCUACCUGGUGACAGGAUGCUAAUCCCAAAAGCCUCUCUCAGUUCGGAUCGAAGUCUGCAACCCGACUUCGUGAAGCUGGAUUCGCUAGUAAUCGCGCAUCAGCCAUGGCGCGGUGAAUACGUUCCCGGGCCUUGUACACACCGCCCGUCAAGCCAUGAAAGCCGGGGGUACCUGAAGUACGUAACCGCAAGGAGCGUCCUAGGGUAAAACUGGUAAUUGGGGCU